GGAGAAGGGCGGACAGGCGCAGACGGUCGCACAAGGUCGUACUGAGGAAAGUCCGGACUCCGUGGGCAGGAUGCUCGCUAACGGCGAGGUGGCGUGAGCCAUGGAAGGGCCAUAGAAACGAAAACCGCCCGAAAGCUUAGGUUCUCUUAAGCGAGUAGGGCAAGGAUGGAAAGGUGAGGUAAGAGCUCACCAGCAGUGCAGUGAUACACUGGCUUGGUAACCCACAUCCGGAGCAAGGCCAAGCAGGGGUUGGGUCGCUCUACCCUCAUUCCCCGGGUAGGCCGCAUAGACAGAUGCCUGUCUAUUACAGAAUCCGGCUUAUAGCCCUUCUCCGUAU
rnacentral:RNase_P_RNA from 1 species